rnacentral:rRNA from 1 species
CCCGCGUUAGAUUAGAUAGUUGGUGGGGUAAUGGCCUACCAAGUCUACGAUCUAUAGCUGGUUUUAGAGGAUGAUCAGCAACACUGGGACUGAGACACGGCCCAGACUCCUACGGGAGGCAGCAGUGGGAAUCUUAGACAAUGGGCGCAAGCCUGAUCUAGCCAUGCCGCGUGUGUGAUGAAGGUCUUAGGAUCGUAAAGCACUUUCGCCAGGGAUGAUAAUGACAG